UUGGAAUAGUUCUGUGGGCAUAGUGUGUCUUCGAAGCCACCAUGUUUUCUGCACUUGUGACUAGAGAGCACCUUGAUAGCUCAGUUGGUAGAGCUGUGGACUGUAAGAUGCUCCUUGUGUGAAACGCUGUGAUGCUAAGGUCGCUGGUUCAACUCCACCUCCAAGCACCUCCUUGUCAUUGGAAAUACCCCCAAGCCUUGUCUUUAUCUGUCAACUCC